UUUUAUAUUUAUUUAUACAUUAAAAUAAAAUCUAAAUAAAAUAUUAUAUAUCUAAAUAAUUAAAUACAUAAUAAUUUUGUAAUAUUUAUACAAAUCCCUUUUAAUUAAUACAUACAUGUAAUGCCACUUUAUUUUUUCCAAACCUCCUAAUUCUAUAAAUUCGCCAAGAAACCUCAAUAAUUGCAGAGUUCAUCUAGUUUCACUCUCACGCACUAGAGAAAUUAUUUUGUACUGAUGCUGAACAGUCUAGAGGCCAAUCAGAACCCGUCACAUCAUCAGGGUGGGUACGAUUAGGUCACCAAACCAAACCAAACGGUGCCUUAAAUAUGCGCUUUAAAUUUAAUCGAACCACUCCUAAUUCUUCGGCAUCUUCGUUCAUGCAUUGAAAAUCUAUUCAGAAAAGUUUAUUUACAUCCUAAAUUUUAAGUAGAAAACCCUUUUUUUUUUACUUGAUGGCAGAAUGUGUAAUUAUGUUUGUUGAAGCAAGGUUAUAUUAGUCCGUAAAAAAUAGCGGAUUGCCGGUUGCCGUCUCUUUAUUGUAUUUACUUUAUUCAGCUUUAAGAAGGAUUCUAGAUUAUUCAAUUGCUUUGUAAACAUCAUGGAAUAAUGAUAAGUUGUAUA